CACUAUAAUCAAAAUAUGAAGUGAUCUCAAUUAAAGGAACUAGUAACUUUUUUUUAAAUAAGUAACUUCUCAGCAAAAGGCCAUAUAGGGGGUAGCAGACUGGGGCCACACAGGCCGAGAGUGCGGCAGGGGAACGUAGUAACUUCAGGGAGCGCUGGACAUGCCUGACUCCCCUGUCUUUACUGUUCUAAGCUGUGUUUAUCUGUCCUACUGUCUGCGAGAACAGAAGCAGGGAGAUUCAAACGCAGAAGGUGGGGACUUUGUUAGGGGACCCAGCGACAGCAGGAAGGAAUCUCGGCCGGAGUCAUGGGUGCGAAGAGAUCGACAGCCGGGAGAAUCAGUCCUACAAAUGCACAAGGGAAGGAUGGUAAGAACAUGGAGGAAGUCCAAAGAAUGUUAGGAGAGUAGAACUCAGGAACUGGAGAGGGGCAAAGAUCAAGGUAUGACACAUAAGACAGAAAUAGCGUUCAUGAACAAAUAAUAACUCGCACUGAGGAAGCGGGCAGAGAAGCGUAACCAGUUAUGGAACAGGUGUGGCUAGUAGUUAGUUCAGCUAAUUAAGUCGAGUUCACACACAGGCAAUGACACUGCACAGAGUGUUUGAAAUAAAAGGAGUGCUGCCUUACCUUUCCUACCAACCAGGACCAAAGGAGAACAUGGUAAGGAGAACAUGGACAGGAGGAGAACACAGAGUGGAGGGGAAAAUGGAUGGGAUGACAUGGGGAUGAGGACAUAGAGGAGAACAUGGAGAAGAUGGAAUGGAGGAGAAUAUGGGGAGGAGAGCAUGGAGAGGAGAACAUGGAGAGGCGGACAUGGGGAAAAGGACACGAAGUGGAGGACAUGGGGAAGAGGACACAAAGAGGGCAACAUGAAGUGGAGGAGAACAUGGAGAGGAUGGAAUGGAGGAGAAUAUGGGGAGGAGAACAUGGAGAGGAGAACAAUGAGAGGGGGACAUGGAGAGGAGGCAAUGGUCAAGAGAACAUGGAGAAGAGGACAUGGUGAGGAGGCAAUGAGAGGGGGACACGGAGACCCUCAGACUCCUUUGUCCAUGUGCAGUAUGUGCUCUUCUGGCUUUGUGUGCAACAUGCAGGAUGUUUCAUUCAACUGCUGCAGUUGUGCUUUUAUUGUGUGGUUUAGAUAACUUUUUAUUUAGUUUUAAGAACUUGCGUUUCAUGUUUGUUGCUUUCUUUUUUUGAUUCAUUGGUCACAGUUGUACUAAAUAAGACAAGCAGUUACAGAAAAUAGAUGGAUGGAUAUUCUCAGUUGUUUGCUCAUAAAAAACAUAUUGAUGUGAAAUUUAUCCUGGCGUAUUUUUUUUCUUUGUACAGCUUAUAUAUUUUAAAAUAAUCAGCUCUUACUUUUCCUUUUCAUAGAUAUAGUGGUAGAUUUAGUAACAGGGUGGGAAAGUAAUUUUGGAUAAAUACUUAUGACAUUGUUUAAUAUCUCUGACAGAAGCUUAGUUCUACUGCUUUCGAUUGAUGAGUAUUUAAUAAAAAUAUGGUAAAUGGA